rnacentral:rRNA from 1 species
UACGUAGGGUGCAAGCGUUAAUCGGAAUUACUGGGCGUAAAGCGUGCGCAGGCGGCUUCUCAAGUCAGGGGUGAAAGCCCAGAGCUCAACUCUGGAAUUGCCUUUGAGACUGAGUGGCUUGAGUACGAGAGAGGUGAGUGGAAUUCCCAGUGUAGAGGUGAAAUUCGUAGAUAUUGGGAAGAACACCGGUGGCGAAGGUGGCUCACUGGCUCGUAACUGACGCUCAUGCACGACAGCGUGGGGAUCAAACAGG